AAGGAUCGGCCCGCGUUGGAUUAGGUAGUUGGUGGGGUAAUGGCCUACCAAGCCGACGAUCCAUAGCUGGUUUGAGAGGAUGAUCAGCCACACUGGGACUGAGACACGGCCCAGACUCCUACGGGAGGCAGCAGUGGGGAAUCUUAGACAAUGGGGGAAACCCUGAUCUAGCCAUGCCGCGUGAGUGAUGAAGGCCUUAGGGUUGUAAAGCUCUUUCAGCUGGGAAGAUAAUGACGGUCCAGCAGAAGAGCCCCG
rnacentral:rRNA from 1 species